rnacentral:rRNA from 1 species
UACGUAGGGGGCGAGCGUUGUCCGGAUUUAUUGGGAGUAAAGCGCUCGCAGGCGGUCCGAUGCGUCGUGCGUGAAAGCCCCCGGCUCAACUGGGGAGGGUCGUGCGAUACGGUCGGACUUGAGGCCAGUAGGGGGAUGUGGAAUUCCAGGUGUAGCGGUGAAAUGCGUAGAUAUCUGGAGGAACACCGGUGGCGAAGGCGGCAUCCUGGACCGAUAUUGACGCUGAUGCGCGAAAGCCAGGGGAGCAAACGGG